UACAGAGGGGGCAAGCGUUGUUCGGAAUUACUGGGCGUAAAGGGCGCGUAGGCGGCCUUCUAAGUCGAACGUGAAAUCCCCGGGCUCAACCCGGGAACUGCGUCCGAUACUGGAAGGCUUGAAUCCGGGAGAGGGAUGUGGAAUUCCUGGUGUAGCGGUGAAAUGCGCAGAGUAUCGGGAGGAACACCAGUGGCGAAGGCGACUACCUGGCCUGUUCUUGACGCUGAGGCGCGAAAGCUAGGGAGCAACGGGG
rnacentral:rRNA from 1 species